ensembl:lncRNA
CCCUGUUGGGGACGGCGGGCGCUGCCCCCUGCUCUUCCUGGGUCCCCAGUCUUCCCAGCAACCUGGGAAGUACUGACCCCCGGUUCACAGUCCGGAGACAGCUCAGAGGAGAGGAGGGACCUAAACGGGACCGCCAAGGCCUCUGGGCCUCACGCCCUCACGGAAGCCCUGGGCCUGUCGCACGCCAGCGCUUAAUAGUUUGUGCCUCCGCUGGAGCUUGGAAACCCGCAUCUGUGAAUGAGAGGACGUGAGGUUACCCAACAAGCAGGCCCUUCCCCAUCAGUCGUGGCUGAGCCAGGGGUAACCUGCUCUCCCAGCUCCGCCUCCCCACCCCAGCACAGACUGCAAGGGACAAAGGUAACUGGUCAGGGAUGCAGAAGAGACGCAGCCAGACAGUAAACUCACAAAGGCAGUGCAGAGAGGCCUGAGCGGUUGUUUAGAGAUGCCCAGAGGCCCUGGCUGCCUCACCUGGAAGGAAGGCCUGGGGACAAGCAUGCCUGGAAGAGUGAGCUGCGGCCCGGAGAGCAGCAGCCGCUACCUGCUGAGACACCGAGCCACCUGACGUGGCCCUGGGAGGAGGCCGGAUUGCUGGGAGCUGAAACAGGACAGCAGGAGCAUCAGAUUUACCAUUAGGAAAAUGACUGGCAGCGGUGUGGAGUGAAAGGAGGCUGGGGAAUCGAUGGGGAAGGGACAGCUGGGGAGACAAAGGUGUGAGGGAGGUGGAGAGCCUGUUAAGACCUGGCAACUUCCGGAGUGGAUAUGGGAGACUCCGGAUGCUCAAGUUUCUGGCUCAGGUGACGGUGGUGCCAGGGCCUGGGUGUGGAUUGAGAGGAGCCAGCAGAGAAGACACCACACCCCCAAUGCAGGGGGCCCAGGUUCGAUCCCCGGUCAGGGAACUAGAUCCUACGUUGCUGCAACUAAGACCUGGCACAGCCAAAUAAUUAAUUUUUUUAAGGUAUCAAAAAGGGGAGCCCCAGGGUGGACAGGUAAGGAGGCAAAGGAGCCCAGCAACACUUGAACCAUGGAGAGACGCUGAGCAAAGGAAAGCAUGCGCAUCUGAGAGGCACUGCCCUUCGAAUACAGACCUGAGACCAUCUCAGUGGCCGCUCACCCCCAAGUGUUCUGGAACAGACACUCUGCCCCAGGAGGCACCAACACUAGUGACUGCCCAGCUCAUGGAGCUGAUGCUUUAAUGGGGG